rnacentral:tRNA from 1 species
CAGGGAGACAACAAAAUGUUUAAUAUUAUUUUGUCACCUUAGGUCGAUCGGUAUCUCACGUUUUUAAUUUAUUAAGAAUUUCAUUUCCUAAGUUUUUCUAGGUCACACCCAUUAUUUUUCCUGGGCCAUUAGCUCAGGUGGUUAGAGCGCACCCCUGAUAAGGGUGAGGUCCCUGGUUCAAGUCCAGGAUGGCCCAUAUCUCUAUGUUGGGGGUAUAGCUCAGUUGGUAGAGCGCCUGCUUUGCAAGCAGGAUGUCAGCGGUUCGAGUCCGCUUACCUCCACUGAUUACCACCUCUUCCAUAAUCUGUAGAAAGGAAAAUUUUUGAGUUGUGAUCAUUAUUCUGAACGAAUCUAGCUUCCUAAUGAAACCAUUAAGAUGCUGGACUCAUUGAAUUAAUUUCAUUGUUUUCAGAGAACCUUGACAACUGCAUAGAUUAUUUUUAAAGACAAUAAGCAUCUUUAAUGAUGCAGAUUUAUUAUUUGUGCGAAUGCAUUAAUAACAAUUCUAUUAAGCUGAUGCUUCAAUUUUUGAAGUUAUU